rnacentral:sRNA from 1 species
GUUGCGCAGCAGCUGUGCCCGGCAGUCUAGAGGCGCAGAAGAGGAAGCCAUCGCCUGGCCCCGGCUCUCUGGACCUUGUCUCGCUCGGGAGCGCAAACAGCGGCAGCCAGAGAACUGUUUUAAUCAUGGACAAACAAAACCCACAGAUGAAUGCUUCUCACCCGGAAACAAACUUGCCAGUUGGGUAUCCUCCUCAGUAUCCACCGACAGCAUUCCAAGGACCUCCAGGAUAUAGUGGCUACCCUGGGCCCCAGGUCAGCUACCCACCCCCACCAGCCGGCCAUUCAGGUCCUGGCCCAGCUGGCUUUCCUGUCCCAAAUCAGCCAGUGUAUAAUCAGCCAGUAUAUAAUCAGCCAGUUGGAGCUGCAGGGGUACCAUGGAUGCCAGCGCCACAGCCUCCAUUAAACUGUCCACCUGGAUUAGAAUAUUUAAGUCAGAUAGAUCAGAUACUGAUUCAUCAGCAAAUUGAACUUCUGGAAGUUUUAACAGGUUUUGAAACUAAUAACAAAUAUGAAAUUAAGAACAGCUUUGGACAGAGGGUUUACUUUGCAGCGGAAGAUACUGAUUGCUGUACCCGAAAUUGCUGUGGGCCAUCUAGACCUUUUACCUUGAGGAUUAUUGAUAAUAUGGGUCAAGAAGUCAUAACUCUGGAGAGACCACUAAGAUGUAGCAGCUGUUGUUGUCCCUGCUGCCUUCAGGAGGUCUGUGAUCAAUUACCAGGGCACUUUGUAAAAUAGUUCAGCAAGAAUUUCUGCCCUGUCAUUGAACCUUUCAUCGAACCUAGGCAUUAUGAUUAUUACAUUUACAUAUAUUAUUU